rnacentral:rRNA from 1 species
GAUGAACGCUGACAGAAUGCUUAACACAUGCAAGUCAACUUGAACUUCGGUUUGGGUGGCGGACGGGUGAGUAACGCGUAAAGAACUUGCCUCACAGAUAGGGACAACAUUUGGAAACGAAUGCUAAUACCUGAUAUUAUGAUUUUAGGGCAUCCUAGAAUUAUGAAAGCUAUAUGCGCUGUGAGAGAGCUUUGCGUCCCAUUAGCUAGUUGGAGAGGUAACGGCUCACCAUGGCGAUGAUGGGUAGCCGGCCUGAGAGGGUGAUCGGCCACAAGGGGACUGAGACACGGCCCUUACUCCUACGGGAGGCAGCAGUGGGGAAUAUUGCACAAUGGGCGAAAGCCUGAUGCAGCAACGCCGCGUGAACGAUGAAGGUCUUCGGAUCGUAAAGUUCUGUUGCAGGGGAAGAUAAUGACGGUACCCUGUGAGGAAGCCCCGGCUAACUACGUGCCAGCAGCCGCGGUAAUACGUAGGGGGCUAGCGUUAUCCGGAUUUACUGGGCGUAAAGGGUGCGUAGGUGGUCCUUCAAGUCGGUGGUUAAAGGCUACGGCUCAACCGUAGUAAGCCGCCGAAACUGGAGGACUUGAGUGCAGGAGAGGAAAGUGGAAUUCCCAGUGUAGCGGUGAAAUGCGUAGAUAUUGGGAGGAACACCAGUAGCGAAGGCGGCUUUCUGGACUGUAACUGACGCUGAGGCUCGAAAGCGUGGGGAGCGAACAGG